rnacentral:rRNA from 1 species
GAGAUGAGUUCUCCCUGAGACCUUGAGUCUCCUGAAGGAACGUUGAAGACGACGACGUUGAUAGGUCGGGUGUGUAAGCGCAGCGAUGCGUUGAGCUAACCGAUACUAAUGAACCGUGAGGCUUAACCUUACAACGCCGAAGGUGUUU